CCUACGGGCGGCAGCAGUGGGGAAUAUUGGACAAUGGGGGGAACCCUGAUCCAGCCAUGCCGCGUGUGUGAAGAAGGCCCUCGGGUUGUAAAGCACUUUCAGUGAGGAAGAACGCCUGGUGGUUAAUACCCAUCAGGAAAGACAUCACUCACAGAAGAAGCACCGGCUAACUCCGUGCCAGCAGCCGCGGUAAUACGGAGGGUGCGAGCGUUAAUCGGAAUUACUGGGCGUAAAGCGCGCGUAGGUGGCUUGAUAAGCCGGUUGUGAAAGCCCCGGGCUCAACCUGGGAACGGCAUCCGGAACUGUCAAGCUAGAGUGCAGGAGAGGAAGGUAGUAUUCCCGGUGUAGCGGUGAAAUGCGUAGAGAUCGGGAGGAAUACCAGUGGCGAAGGCGGCCUUCUGGACUGACACUGACACUGAGGUGCGAAAGCGUGGGUAGCAAACAGGAUUAGAUACCCGGGUAGUC
rnacentral:rRNA from 1 species